rnacentral:tRNA from 1 species
GCCGGUGUAGCUCAACUGGCAGAGCAGCUGAUUUGUAAUCAGCAGGUUGUGGGUUCGAUUCCAAUCACCGGCUCCA